rnacentral:rRNA from 1 species
GGCUUAGAGUUUGAUCAUGGCUCAGGAUAAACGCUGGCGGCGCACAUAAGACAUGCAAGUCGAACGGACUUAAUCGAUUCUUUUAGAUUCGAAGCGGUUAGUGGCGGACUGGUGAGUAACACGUAAGCAACCUGCCUAUUAGAGGGGAAUAACAGUGAGAAAUCACUGCUAAAACCGCAUAUGCCGUGAACAUCGCAUGAUGAAAACGGGAAAAGAGCAAUCUGCUAAUAGAUGGGCUUGCGUCUGAUUAGCUAGUUGGUGUGGUAAAGGCAUACCAAGGCAACGAUCAGUAGCCGGACUGAGAGGUUGAACGGCCACAUUGGGACUGAGAUACGGCCCAGACUCCUACGGGAGGCAGCAGUCGGGAAUAUUGCGCAAUGGAGGAAACUCUGACGCAGUGACGCCGCGUAUGGGAAGAAGGUUUUCGGAUUGUAAACCAUUUUAGACAAGGAAGAAAUAAGACAGUACUUGUAGAAUAAGCUCCGGCUAACUACGUGCCAGCAGCCGCGGUAAUACGUAGGGAGCAAGCGUUAUCCGGAUUUAUUGGGUGUAAAGGGUGCGUAGACGGGAAGGUAAGUUAGUUGUGAAAUCCCUCGGCUCAACUGAGGAACUGCGACUAAAACUGCUUUUCUUGAGUGCUGGAGAGGAAAGUG